UGUGGGAGCGGGCUUGCUCGCGAUGGGGCAACCCGGUUUUGAACCAUUGGCGCGGUAAUGCUAUCGCGAGCAAGCCCGCUCCCACG
rnacentral:misc_RNA from 1 species